UACGAAGGGGGCUAGCGUUGCUCGGAAUCACUGGGCGUAAAGGGUGCGUAGGCGGGUUUUUAAGUCAGAGGUGAAAUCCUGGAGCUCAACUCCAGAACUGCCUUUGAUACUGAAAAUCUUGAGUAUGGGAGAGGUGAGUGGAACUGCGAGUGUAGAGGUGAAAUUCGUAGAUAUUCGGAAGAACACCAGUGGCGAAGGCGGCUCACUGGUCCGGUACUGACGCUGAGGUGCGAAAGCGUGGGGAGCAAACAGG
rnacentral:rRNA from 1 species